rnacentral:lncRNA from 1 species
GUGAGUGAGUCGGUGAGGUCAGCAGCCGAGCCCACUGGGAACUUUCAGUGGUUCUCACCCCACUAACCAUGCAGGUUCUAGCUCGUGCGGGGUGGUUGAGGAUUGUGAUCUGGACAGCGCUCCAUAGAUAGCAGACAUCCAUUGAGUAUAGUGGAACCUUGUAUAUUUCAUCUGUUUAUAGUUGAUGAAAAGAAAUGUAAAUUAUUCAUUGAGAGAUGGCAAAUGUAUAUAUUGAGGAAUAUAUGAAUGUAAUAACGUGUAAUCUUUGUAUUUGAUUUAAAGUAAUCAAGAUACAAUGUGUGAAUGUUUAGUUAGUUUACUUUCA